GCGCCAGUAGCUCAGCUGGAUAGAGUACCUGGCUACGAACCAGGGGGUCGUGGGUUCGAUUCCUGCCUGGCGCGCCA
rnacentral:tRNA from 8 species